rnacentral:misc_RNA from 1 species
UACGAGUGGGGCAAACGUUGUUCGGAAUCACUGGGCAUAAAGGGCGUGUAGGCGGUCCGGAAAGUCAUGGUUGAAACCCCCCGGCUCAACCGGGGAACAGGCUGUGAAACUGCCGGACUGGAGGAUGGCAGGGGGGUGUGGAACGAUCGGUGGAGCGGUGAAAUGCGUAGAUAUCGGUCGGAACACCGGUGGCGAAGGCGACACCCUGGGCCAUUCCUGACGCUGAGGCGCGAAAGCGUGGGGAGCAAGCAGG